GACGCAACGACGAUUAAUGAUGGAUCCGACGAGUCUUCAUGGAAAUUUGAGGUGGCACGCAAAUAGGCUCAAGUACUUCAAAGCAUUAUAAACGUCAGUAGAAUUUAAAAUAUGAAUUAAAAUUCAUUUUGUUCCGUACAAGAAUGUGUGAAAUUUUAUGUGCAAGAAGAAACUCCAGAAAUUCUUAAAUAUGUAUGCCAAAGGCUCAAAAGAAUGAGAGAAAUAUAGGAGGUGAACAAAAGAAAGAAGCUAAAUAUUAGGAAAUAAUAUUUGGCCUUUAUCAAUCAGGAAAUGGUCGAGUAAUCUUAAACCCGAUUACCCUGCUCAAAGAGCCCGUAGUAUACACAAUGCAUAAAAAGCAGUUUCCAGCUAGUAUCAGAGUUUAAUCGACUGGAUGCGGCCCAUUAUCAGCGACUGUUGCCUAUCGAAAGCACUAUCCCGAUAAGCUGCC
rnacentral:misc_RNA from 1 species